UGUGUGUAUAGUGUGUGUGUAUAUAAUGCAGUGUUUGUGUGUAGUGUGUGUGUAUAUAAUACAAACACUUCAUUAUAUACACACACACUACACAAAC